rnacentral:rRNA from 1 species
AGGGUUUGAUUCUGGCUCAGAAUGAACGUUGGCGGCGUGGAUUAGGCAUGCAAGUCGAGCGAGAAGUUUACUUCGGUAAAUGGACAGCGGCGAAAGGGACAGUAAUGUGUAGGUACCUACCCCCCGAUCUGGGAUAGCUGCGGGAAACUGCAGGUAAUACCGGAUAAUGUCUUCGGACCAAAGGUGUGAUUCCGUCAGGGGAGGGGCCUGCAUCCUAUUAGCUUGUUGGUGAGGUAAUGGCUCACCAAGGCAACGAUGGGUAGCGGGUGUGAGAGCAUGACCCGCGUCAUUGGGACUGAGACACUGCCCAGACAUCUACGGAUGGCUGCAGUCGAGAAUCUUCGGCAAUGGGCGAAAGCCUGACCGAGCGACGCCGCGUGCGGGAUGAAGGCCCUCGGGUUGUAAACCGCUGUCGUUGGGGAGGAAAUGCAAAAGGGUUAUCCCUUCUGUUUGACCGAUCCAAGGAGGAAGUACGGGCUAAGUUCGUGCCAGCAGCCGCGGUAAGACGAACCGUACGAACGUUAUUCGGAAUUACUGGGCUUAAAGGGUGCGUAGGCUGCACGGAAAGUUGGGUGUGAAAGCCCUCAGCUCAACUGAGGAAUUGCAUCCAAAACUGCCGUGCUUGAGGGAGACAGAGGUGAGCGGAACUCAAGGUGGAGCGGUGAAAUGCGUUGAUAUCUUGAGGAACACCGGUGGCGAAAGCGGCUCACUGGGUCUCUUCUGACGCUGAGGCACGAAAGCUAAGGUAGCAAACGGGAUUAGAUACCCCGGUAGUCUUAGCUGUAAACGAUGAGCACUUGAUUGGAGGGUCCUCCAUAGCCUUCCAGUCGUAGCGAAAGUGUUAAGUGCUCCGCCUGGGGAGUAUGGUCG